rnacentral:rRNA from 1 species
CUUAGGGAGCGAAGCAAUUGGAAGUGGUUCCAAGAAAAGCCUCUAAGCUUCAGUCUAACGAUGACCGUACCGCAAACCGACACAGGUGGGCGAGAUGAGUAUUCUAAGGCGCUUGAGAGAACUCGGGAGAAGGAACUCGGCAAAUUGGUACCGUAACUUCGGGAUAAGGUACGCCCUUGUAGCUUGACUGGCCUGCGCCAGGAGGGUGAAGGGGUUGCAAUAAACUGGUGGCUGCGACUGUUUAAUAAAAACACAGCACUCUGCAAACACGAAAGUGGACGUAUAGGGUGUGACGCCUGCCCGGUGCCGGAAGAUUAAAUGAUGGGGUGCAAGCUCUUGAUUGAAGUCCCGGUAAACGGCGGCCGUAACUAUAACGGUCCUAAGGUAGCGAAAUUCCUUGUCGGGUAAGUUCCGACCUGCACGAAUGGCGUAACGAUGGCCACACUGUCUCCUCCCGAGACUCAGCGAAGUUGAAGUGUUUGUGAUGAUGCAAUCUACCCGCGGCUAGACGGAAAGACCCCAUGAACCUUUACUGUAGCUUUGCAUUGGACUUUGAACCGAUCUGUGUAGGAUAGGUGGGAGGCUAUGAAACCGGAACGCUAGUUUCGGUGGAGCCGUCCUUGAAAUACCACCCUGGUUUGUUUGAGGUUCUAACCUUGGCCCGUGAUCCGGGUCGGGGACAGUGCAUGGUAGGCAGUUUGACUGGGGCGGUCUCCUCCCAAAGCGUAACGGAGGAGUACGAAGGUACGCUAGGUACGGUCGGAAAUCGUGCUGAUAGUGCAAUGGCAUAAGCGUGCUUAACUGCGAGACCGACAAGUCGAGCAGGUGCGAAAGCAGGUCAUAGUGAUCCGGUGGUUCUGUAUGGAAGGGCCAUCGCUCAACGGAUAAAAGGUACUCUGGGGAUAACAGGCUGAUACCGCCCAAGAGUUCAUAUCGACGGCGGUGUUUGGCACCUCGAUGUCGGCUCAUCUCAUCCUGGGGCUGUAGCCGGUCCCAAGGGUAUGGCUGUUCGCCAUUUAAAGAGGUACGUGAGCUGGGUUUAAAACGUCGUGAGACAGUUUGGUCCCUAUCUGCCGUGGGCGUUGGAUAUUUGAAGGGGGCUGCUCCUAGUACGAGAGGACCGGAGUGGACGAACCUCUGGUGUACCGGUUGUCACGCCAGUGGCAUCGCCGGGUAGCUAUGUUCGGAAGAGAUAACCGCUGAAAGCAUCUAAGCGGGAAACUCGCCUUAAGAUGAGAUAUCCCUGGGGACUAGAUCCCCUUGAAGGGUCGUUCGAGACCAGGACGUUGAUAGGUCAGGUGUGUAAGCGCAGUAAUGCGUUCAGCUAACUGAUACUAAUUGCCCGUAAGG